ensembl:lncRNA
AGGGAGAGGAGGAAGGAGAAGGUGAUGAAGAAGAGAAACAGGAGGGAGAAGUGGAAGAAGAGAAGGAGGAAGGAGAGACAGAGGAAGCGGAAGCAGGCGAAGAGGAAGAGGAGGUAGAGGGAGAAGAGGAGGGAGGAGAGAAGGAGGGAGGAGAUGAGGAGGGAGGAGAGGAGAAAGGUGAAGAGGAGAAAGGAGGGGACGGAGAGAGCAAAGAGGAGGAGAAGAAGACUGACUCCAAACCAAAGGAAAAGUAGAGAGAAUGUAUUCAGACCCCAGGUGCUAAGUGACACACACACACACACCUCAAACACACACAGAUCAAUCCGUGUGUUUGUGUGACAUGUAGACACAUACACACACACACACACAGCACAGCAUACACACACCACAUACACACACACCACAGACACACACACGCACCACAAACACAC